AUUGAACGCUGGCGGCAGGCCUAACACAUGCAAGUCGAACGAGUGGCGGACGGGUGAGUAAUGUCUGGGAAACUGCCUGAUGGAGGGGGAUAACUACUGGAAACGGUAGCUAAUACCGCAUACCAUCGGAUGUGCCCAGAUGGGAUUAGCUAGUAGGUGGGGUAAAGGCUCACCUAGGCGACGAUCCCUAGCUGGUCUGAGAGGAUGACCAGCAAGACUGGAAGUGAGACACGGUCCAGACUCCGUCGGGAGGCAGCAGGGGGGAAUAGUGAAAGAUGGGCGGAAGCCUGAUGCAGCCAGGCCGCGUGUAUGAAGAAGGCCUGCGGGUUGGAAAGUACUUUCAGCGGGGAGGCGUUACCCGCAGAAGAAGCACCGGCUAACUCCGUGCCAGCCGCGGUAAUUC
rnacentral:rRNA from 1 species